rnacentral:rRNA from 1 species
GAUGAACGCUGGCGGCGUGCUUAACACAUGCAAGUCGAACGGGAAACCUUUUAUUGAAGCUUCGGCAGAUUUAGCUGGUUUCUAGUGGCGGACGGGUGAGUAACGCGUGGGUAACCUGCCUUAUACAGGGGGAUAACAACCAGAAAUGGUUGCUAAUACCGCAUAAGCGCACAGGACCGCAUGGUCCGGUGUGAAAAACUCCGGUGGUAUAAGAUGGACCCGCGUUGGAUUAGCUAGUUGGCAGGGUAACGGCCUACCAAGGCGACGAUCCAUAGCCGGCCUGAGAGGGUGAACGGCCACAUUGGGACUGAGACACGGCCCAGACUCCUACGGGAGGCAGCAGUGGGGAAUAUUGCACAAUGGGGGAAACCCUGAUGCAGCGACGCCGCGUGAAGGAAGAAGUAUCUCGGUAUGUAAACUUCUUUCAGCAGGGAAGAUAGUGACGGUACCUGACUAAGAAGCCCCGGCUAACUACGUG